rnacentral:lncRNA from 1 species
CACGAAGGUCACUGGGCACAGUGAGAACUUGGCUCCUCUGGGGGUUCUGAUGCCAAAGGCCUGGUCAGCUCCUGUCUCCAGCUCAGCAGCCUUCUCCCGGCCACAGUGACAGGCCUCUGGGACACCUAAGCAGUUCUGUGGCUUCAUUAUGCUCCCCUCCUGGAGUGACUCCCGAAUCCACCAAUUCCAGAGAACUUGCAUGUAGCAGGGCAAUUUAUUGAGACUUUAAUGGAGCAGAAUAACCGAUUCAGAAAUUACCUAUGUCUUGUUUUUCUCUGCAGCAGGCUCAACACAAAGGCACGAGAGGGCAGUGCUCUGAUAGCUUGGCCAGCAGGAAAGGCUGAGAGCCAUGUGUGAGGGCAGAAGGAGGAGGCACUAUGAGCCAGCCUGUACCGUGGUUCCAGGGACCGCUCGGUUUCCGCGCCUUCAUCUAGGACACGGACCGCUCUGGCCCCUUCCCACUGGGCUCAGCGCAGCCUCCAGCCAAACCUAUUCCAACCAAGGUGGUGACAGAGACUCCAAAAAAACUAAAAUAGUCAUCUUUCAAGGUUAACAAGGAGCUACUCAGAAGCCUCAGCAUGACUGUCAAUAGCCAAUCAAAGGGAGCUGUCAGCUGCUCCCCUGAGGAAGGGUUUCAGUUAAUGAAGAGAGCAGGGCUGGGGUGGCUGCAUAUGGAGAAGAACCAGCUGUUUGAUAUCCUGCUUUGGAGCCCAAAGCUGAAGGUGAAGGAUGUGGGGUGCUGCAAUUCCCCCAAGCAGAACAGACCAGAAAGGGCCCAGUGGGAUGUCUGCAACCAGGGAAAACUUGCUACAAUCUGGGGCUCAUUCAGUGAAAUCCAUUGUCCUCUCCCCAAGAGAGGGGUACUCAAUUAAAUUUCUCCUGAGGUCUUUUUUCUCCCCCAGUGACCUUUUUCUUGAAAGAUUUUUCUUUUCUCAGAUACUGCAAGGUUAACUCAGAUGAAUAUUAUGGGAUCACAUUUAUGCAAUGUCCUUUACUGAACAUGCGCCUCAGUUUCCUUGUUUAUAAAAUGAAGGAGUGGGCAAAUACAAAAGGGUUGCAUAACACUCUGCCCCAAAAGAAUAUCAUGAGGGUUUUUUUUUUUAAGAGCUAUGGAAACUAAUUAAAAUUAAAAGAGUUUUCCUUCAGAUUCCCAAAUAAACUUCCUUCCUCAAGUGCAGUGUCAGAAGGGAAGAGGCUACUAUUUGGCUACGAUUGCUAACAGACAAUCUGCAGAGAAAGCAGAACCUCACAACUCCUUUUACUUUCAUCUUGUCAGCCAAGAAGACUGAUGUGUCUGGGAAGGUGGGGUAAACACAGGUAGGAAUGCACGGAAGCCCAUGAUGGGUGCAGAGAUAGUGAGAAUACCCCCAAACAAGCUCAAGUCUUCAGUCCUCAACAAAUUACUUCAAGACAGGUGGGACUGGGAACCACAAUCUCUAAUCUUGCAGAAAUAGUGUAAAAAAGAGGUGCCAAGUGCCUGGAGAUAACCACUUUUGUCCCAAUUUUCAAAGAGAGGUAAAAACUACGUUCUGGAAACUGGAGGCUGGUGAGCUUCAUAUUAACUCCCACAAAAUUCUCAACUGUUCUGUUAAAGAGACAACUGGAAGGAAAAUAUUUAGUAAGGAAAAUAAGAAUCAUCAGAAGCUGGCCUGAAUUCAUUAAUAUAAGUUUAUUUCAGGGAUAGUUCUGAUAUCACAUCAAGUUGGAAGAGAAAAGCAGGAUAAUUUGUAAAGUAUUUUUUAAUAAAGAUUUUGUUUGUUUACCUCUACCAGAAUAUAAGCUUCCUGAGGGCAGAAUUUUGGGGGAGGGAAGGAGUCUUUUGUUUACUGUUGCACCUACAAUAAUGUCCAACACAAAGAAGACAUCCAAUAUGCUUCUUUACAGGAAUCAAUACACAUGUAUAAUAAAAAGUUGGCAGGAGAUAGUAAAAUUUAAGUGAGCUCUCUGGUUGAUGUUGGGUUGCUUUCACUUUCUUCUUAAUUUAGGGAUUCUUUUCCUAUAUUUCUCAUUUUCUAUAAUUAGCAUAGGUUACUUUUAUAAUCACAAAAAUAAAAUAAUCUCUUCUUUGAAGGCUUACUCCUGAC